rnacentral:rRNA from 1 species
AGCAGCCGCGGUAAUUCCAGCUCCAAUAGCGUAUAUUAAAGUUGUUGCAGUUAAAAAGCUCGUAGUUGAACUUCGGGGUUUACCCAUUGGUCAGGCUUAAUUGUCUGUACUGGUGAGAUAAAUCUCUACCUUCUGAGGAACUUUCAUGCCAUUUAUUUGGUGUGAUUGGAAAUCAGGACUAUUACUUUGAAAAAUUAGAGUGUUUAAAGCAGGCUAAAGUCUGAAUACAUUAGCAUGGAAUAAUGAAAUAGGACGGAUUUGAUUCUAUUUCGUUGGUUUCUAGGAUCACCGUAAUGAUUAAUAGGGAUAGUUGGGGGCAUUAGUAUUCAAUUGUCAGAGGUGAAAUUCUUGGAUUUAUUGAAGACUAACUACUGCGAAAGCAUUUGCCAAGGAUGUUUUCAUUAAUCAAGAACGAAAGUUAGGGGAUCGAAGACGAUCAGAUACCGUCGU